rnacentral:rRNA from 1 species
GACGAACGCUGGCGGCGUGCUUAACACAUGCAAGUCGAACGGAAAGGCCCUGCUUUUGUGGGGUGCUCGAGUGGCGAACGGGUGAGUAACACGUGAGUAACCUGCCCUUGACCUUGGGAUAACUUCAGGAAACUGGGGCUAAUACCGGAUAGGAGCUCCGGCUGCAUGGUGGGGGUUGGAAAGUUUCGGCGGUUGGGGAUGGACUCGCGGCUUAUCAGCUUGUUGGUGGGGUAGUGGCUUACCAAGGCUUUGACGGGUAGCCGGCCUGAGAGGGUGACCGGCCACAUUGGGACUGGGAUACGGCCCAGACGCCUACGGGAGGCAUCGGUGGGGAAUAUUGCACAAUAGGCGGAAGCCUGAUGCAGCAACGCCGCGUGCUGGAUGACGGCCUUCGGGUUGUAAACCGCUUUCGCCUGUGACGAAGCGUGAGUGACGGUAAUGAGUAAAGAAGCACCGGCUAACUACGUG